rnacentral:misc_RNA from 1 species
GAUGAAGAACGUAGCGAAAUGCGAUAAGUAGUGUGAAUUGCAGGUGUAUACGUGAAUCAUCGAAUCUUUGAACGCAAAUUGCACUUUCUGGUAUUCCAGGAAGUAUGCCUGUUUGAGGGUCGCCUAAAUAAACUUCGAUUAUAUUGCUUUUUUUGUAAAUAUAUGUCGGAUUUGGGCUUUUCUUUAUUUUUUUUUAAAUAAAGUGGCUUAAAAUUUUUUUUUUGGUAUCAUCGAAAAGCGUAUUUUACGAUCAAUGUCGAUCAAAAGAAACGUUGUCGAAUGCCAUCCUUUAUUAAUGUAAUACGUUUGACUUGUGUUAUCAUCUAGUUCAUUCGUAUACGAUUCUUGAUUUUUUGACCUCAAAUCAGGUAAGAGUACCCGCUGAACUUAAGCAUAUCAAUAAGCGGAGGA